UUAAGUAGCGAGGUUACGCUCGCUAUCCAUAUACAUGUUGAGCUAUCUGGCGGAAAACAGAUGGCUCACUAUUUCAAUAUUCUGUUAAGGACAGCCAGUGGUCGGCUGUCUUUUUUAUAUU
rfam:Enterococcus mundtii QT 25 DNA, complete genome.